AAUGGACCAAUUUGUAAGUCGCUCUGGAUAAGAGUGUCUGCUAAAUGACGUAAA
rfam:Salmo salar isolate Sally breed double haploid chromosome ssa18, whole genome shotgun sequence.